AUUGCUUCUCGGCCCUUUAGCUAACAUCACGGGUAGUAUUUGUUCCUAUCGGUUUAACAUCUGAUACGUCCUUGAUCCCAGGACAACAUAUGAAAUGGGUUUUUGGAGCUGGGAGUUGGAAGAGGAGCUCUCUCCAUCCACUCCACGCAUCGACCUGGUGUUGCAGUACCUCCAGGAACAGUGCACCCCUC